GUGUUGGAACCCUAGGGUAGUGUUUUGGCUUAAAGGGUUAGCUUGAGGCUACGUGUAUCCUUGGGCACCAUGUGGCAUCUCGGGAUGAUAUUUCAGGGCGUUACAGUCGACUAAUUCUUAUUCAUGAUAAAAAUAUCCCAAGCGAUAAUGUUGUUGUGAGAGCAUUAGAGUUAGCUGUGAAGAGACAAAAGACCCUCUUAAUUGUGGAUGAAGAUGUGGGCAAUGAAGCACUUGCUACUCUUAUUUUGAACAAGCUUUGUGCCGAAAUAAAGGUCUUAACAGAAGAGCUUGGAUUGAGCAUUGAAAAUGUAAAGUUCGAGAUGCUUGGAACUUGUAAAAAGGUAGUUUUGCUGUGCCACUUGGCUGUAGUAGGUUCUUCUUUUGUAUAUUUCUAUUCUCCUUUAAAAGUGUAAGUGAAUGAGAAUUUUGCACAGUGUAAUUCUUUUUUGGGAUUUCUAGUGAGUCUUGCAGGGGGAUUUUAUCUUGUU